rnacentral:rRNA from 1 species
GAUGAACGCUAGCGGCAGGCCUAACACAUGCAAGUCGAGGGGUAACAUAGAAAAGCUUGCUUUUCUGAUGACGACCGGCGCACGGGUGCGUAACGCGUAUACAACCUACCUUUUAGCGGGGAAUAGCCCAGGGAAACUUGGAUUAAUGCCCCAUAGUAUAUAGACUUCUCCUGAAGUUUAUAUUAAACAUUUAUGGCUAUUAGAUGGGUAUGCGUCCUAUUAGUUAGUUGGUAAGGUAACGGCUUACCAAGGCAGCGAUAGGUAGGGGUCCUGAGAGGGAGAUCCCCACACUGGUACUGAGACACGGACCAGACUCCUACGGGAGGCAGCAGUGAGGAAUAUUGGACAAUGGGCGAGAGCCUGAUCCAGCCAUGCCGCGUGCAGGAAGACUGCCCUAUGGGUUGUAAACUGCUUUUACAGAGGAAGAACCACCCUCACGUGUGGGGGUUUGACGGUACUCUGCGAAUAAGGAUCGGCUAACUCCGUG